UUCGCAAUGCCCGAAAGGGUGACGAAGCGACGCCGCGUGAGCGAAGAAGGCCCUAGGGUUGUAAAGCUCUGUCGAGGGUUAUGAAAUAUAAGUGAGAUAAUACCCCAUUUAUUUGACAAAAGCCCAAAAGGAAGCCACGGCUAACUCUGUGCCAGCAGCCGCGGUAAUACAGAGGUGGCGAGCGUUGUUCGGUAUUAUUGGGCGUAAAGAGCACGUAGGUGGUUUUGUAAGUCAGGUGUGAAAGCCUUCUGUUCAAAGGAAGAACGGCAUCUGAAACUGCAGAUCUUGAGUGUAGGAGGGGAGAGUGGAACUUCUGGUGGAGCGGUGAAAUGCGUAGAUAUCAGAAGGAACGUCGGCGGCGAAAGCGACUCUCUGGCCUAUUACUGACACUGAGGUGCGAAAGUUAGGGGAGCAAACGGGAUUAGAUACCCCGGUAGUCCUAACCGUAAACGAUGGGCACUAAGUAGAGGGGUUUU
rnacentral:rRNA from 1 species